UCGGUUAUGGUGUAAUGGCUAACAUUAUCGCCUCUCAUAUCAACCAUCAACUCGAGCGCGCGAUAGCUCGGGGUUCGAUUCCCCGUAGCCGAA